GUAUCCUACGGGGCGCAGCAGUGGGGAAUAUUGCACAAUGGGGGAAACCCUGAUGCAGCGACGCCGCGUGAGUGAAGAAGUAUUUCGGUAUGUAAAGCUCUAUCAGCAGGAACGAGACAAGACGGUACCUGACUAAGAAGCCCCGGCUAACUACGUGCCAGCAGCCGCGGUAAUACGUAGGGGGCAAGCGUUAUCCGGAAUCACUGGGUGUAAAGGGAGCGUAGGCGGGAA
rnacentral:rRNA from 1 species